AAGGUUGUUGUUACUGCCCCUGUCCCUGCAGCAGCCUCCACUCUCGCCUUCAGCCCAACCGGCCUCCGCCGCCCAGGCCCAAGGCCGAGCUGGACGGGGCGGGGAGAGAGGGAGGCAGGCGGGGCGACCCCUGCUCCCGAAGCCGCUGAUUGGCGCCGCGGCGUGGUCUGAGGAGGCCGGCAGGGUUGGGCGGUGCUAGCGAAGCGUCCCCCGUCCCGUCUGCCGCGCGCAGCAGCCCCGCCGUCAGCAGCAGCCGCGCGGCCCCUUGCGAGUCCCCGGCAGCCCGGCCGGCGCGCUCCGCGGCAGCCUCCGCUCAGAAUGAAGAUGUGGCUCUUUAUAAUUGUGGCAUGUGUGAUCCAAGGAAUUGUAAGUUCAGAAGCAUUUGUCAGAAGAAGAAGAAAUGUGGAUCCUGAAACAUCUAUGAAUAUUAGUGAAAUUGUUACCUACAGAGGCUACCCUAAUGAGGAGCAUGAAGUGGUGACUGAAGAUGGAUAUAUCCUUAGCAUUAACAGAAUUCCUCAUGGGAAGAAAAGCCAUGGGAGGAAGAAGGGUCCCAAGCCCGCUGUUUUUCUGCAGCAUGGUUUUCUUGCAGAUGGUAGUAACUGGAUCACAAAUUUGGACAACAACAGCCUGGGCUUUAUGCUCGCAGAUGCUGGCUAUGAUGUUUGGAUGGGAAACAGCAGGGGGAACACAUGGUCUAGAAAGCAUAAACACUAUACAGUGAAGCAAGAGGAAUUCUGGGUUUUCAGUUUUGAUGAAAUGGCUAAAUACGACCUUCCUGCCGCUAUAAACUUUAUUGUGAAUAAAACUGGACAGGAGAGAAUCUAUUACAUUGGCCAUUCACAGGGUACCACUAUAGCUUUCAUCGCAUUUUCAACUAUGCCGGAGCUGGCUAAGAAAAUAAAAAUGUUUUUUGCAUUGGCACCUGUAGCCACAAUCAAGUUCUCCACUAGCCCUCUGACAAAACUUGGAGUGCUUCCAGAGCUGCUGCUCAAGGAUAUGUUUGGAAAGAAGCAAUUCCUUCCCCAGAGUUCAUUGCUGAAGUGGCUUGCCACUCAUGUUUGUACCCACAGAUUACUGGAUGACCUUUGUGGCAAUUUCUUCUUUCUUAUAUGUGGUUUUGAUGAGAGAAACUUAAACAUGAGCCGAGUCGACGUGUAUUCAACACACUGCCCUGCUGGGACAUCUGUACAAAACAUGAUCCAUUGGACCCAGGCCGUUAAAUCUGGGGAACUCAAAGCUUAUGACUGGGGAAGCAAGGCUGCAAAUUUGGCUCACUAUAACCAGGAAGUGGAGACACUAAAAGAACUGGAGUGUGGAAGUUCAGAUGAGGAAAAGGAGAUCAAAACCGUUAUCAAUAUGCAUAAGAUAAAGUGAGCAUUAGUUUAACACAUUAUAAAAGAUGUUUCUCGUCCUGAGAGCCAUGGGAGACAGCAGGAUGACGACCACAUACCAACUCUCGGAUAUCUCCGCAAAGGAUGGUCUAUCAGGAUUAGUGGGAGUCAUAUUCUUAGCUUGUUGAAGGCCUCAGGCUGAUAGUCAAAAGGAUUUCAAGCAUGCUGAAAAUGAGUGGGUUUUUUCCCCUUAUGAAUGGUGGUAGCUUUCAGAAGACCUACAAAAUGAAACUUAAAUGGAUAUUGCAGUUUAUCAAGAGGUACACUGAGAUGUUGCAAUAAUUUAAAAGUUCCAUGCACACUUUUUAAAAAUAAGACCUAUCCUGGCUCACCAACUCAAGCCCUCAAGAAACCCAGAUGUGAGUGAAACAUGAUGGCUGCACCAUUAGUGGACAAGCUGUGGAGAGAAGGCAUGCUUUGAUAGCCAGUGUGCUAUUCCAGGGGUCGCUGAUUACCAUGGUCUUUGCUCCAGAGGGAACAAAAUUGCAGAGUCUGGAUUGACAUGAGUCAGAAUUGCUCAGAGGAUCCUGGUUGACACACAAGAGACUACUAUCCAGCACCUCACCUGACAGGGGGAGAAUUGCAUGAUUCCAGCAUGAGACAAGUGAUGGCUUGAGACCUAGUGGUGGUCACCUGGAGAUACCAGGAGGGGCGGUGUGAGAUCUGGAAACCAAGGUCCCAAUCCUGAAAACAUUGACAAAUGAAGUCAGUGGACACUAUGGGCCUGAUCCAGAUCCAGUGGAAAGACUAACUUCCAAGUUUAUGAAUGUACAAACUGCAGAGAAGCAUUGCUGCAACCCACUGCAAUGCAGAAGCUACAGUAAACACAGAAGUAAAGGGCCCUGGUGAAAAAGAAGCACAAGUUCAAGGACACUUCCAGGAAAAAUGUUUGGUUUGGGCAGAGGAUUCCAGACAGGGGACACAGCUUGAAUAACUCUUCUGGUAAUAUGAUCUGAGUAUAUUUGAUUGCUAAAUGCCAUGAAACUAGUUGAGAAUGUCAAAUCUUUCAGUGGUGGGGUCAAAAGGAAAUUGUUGCCAAUUUAAUUACAAGAAUUGCAAACAACAUUUUUCUUUAUGUAAUUACAAAACUUUUCAGUAGCAGAAUGAGUAAGGCCACUUAACAAGACAGUAACUCUGCUCAGCGCAAAAAUAAUUAGGGGUUUUUUUUUCUCCAAAAGGUACCUAAAAUGUUAGUAGUGCAGUCACAAAGUAGCUAUCUUUAGGGAAAAAGAGAACUCUCAAACAAAUCAUUAGGGCGAGUGCAAAUUAAAGGGAAAAAAGUACACGCAAUUGUUUAAGAUCACAAAUCUGUACAAUACAAAUGCAGGUCCCACCUCUGAGUACAGAGUCUUCCCUGAAAGUGGAACAACUGCAGCAUGUUACUUGAUUCAUUGGUACAUUACUUGACCCAAAAGGGCCUACGUCACUUUUGAAAGUGGGACUUGGGCUCCUAAGUCACUUCUGUGUUUUGAAAAUGUUAUUUCUAUCCUCAGUGAAGUUCUUCUGAAGUCAUUUACUUACCUGCCAAGGACUGUAUUGUUUUUUAAUAAGAAGGAAGAAGGAACCUGUGAUGUAGCUAUGCAGUCCAAAGUCAGAUUAAGAAAGUAAGCCUUUGCAUGCACCUGAGUUGAAUUCAAUAUAACGGAUUUAUCUUUAGAAAAAAUAAAGGUGUGGAGGUGAAAUGUGGAAAAAGCUUCCUGAAUUGGAAAGGAUGCGAAAAAGAAUGUCAUAUAUCCUUAAGUUCCCUUAUAUCUCUUGGUGUGUUAUUGAACAAGACUUGGACUAAGUAGCAAGCUUCAGAAAUUUACAACCAAAGGACAAAAUAUAAUUUAUUGGAAGGAUAGCUGGAUUAGCACAUUCAAGCUAACUGAUAACUUUUUGAGGAAGAGACUGUCUGACUGUGCUUUAAAGAAGACAGACUUUCCAACUCUUUCCUGUUGUCUGGAUGCUAUCUUUAGCAUUCUUUGUUCCUAGACUUUCCACUCUUUUGUUAUCAUAUAGAAAUCUUGGAUUUUCCUUUAAUCACAAGACCUUAUUUCCUAUUUGAUAUCAUACACAAUGCUGCAUUUCAAAGAAAGAACAGUUCAUUAGGAACGAAACAGGGUUUGGUGAGCUAGGAAAUUCAAAAUCCCUAUGGUGUAAUAAUAACUUUACAGUAAGUAAUUCGUUUUUGCUGCCCUCUGCAACCCCACCUAUGUCAAUAAGGCUCAGAUCAUUCGAUGGGAGACUGGCACCCAAAUACUUUUGAGGAUCUGGGCCUUACUCCUUCUGUGAAGGUGGUUAAGAGGCAAGACCUAAAUUCUGUUUUUUGGCUCUGCAGCAAUCUUCCUGUGUAGUCUUGGACUAGUCGCUAAUCUUGUCUGCUCAUUUUCUCUUAUGUUAAGUGGGAUUACACCUCACACAAGUGCUCUGAUUAAAAAAUAAUGCAUGUUCAUAAAGUGUUUUGAAAUCUUCCAGUGGAAGAGAAACAGAUUGAUUACUUGAGGCUGACGUCAGGUUGCCCAGUGUAACAUCCUCACAAGCCAGAAUCUACUUGAAGCGGUGACAAAUCUGCUUGAAAGCAUCUUUUUUGACAAGAAAAGGGUAAAAUGUAUGGUGGUAUGGGGUUUAAUAGUGACUAACCAGAGCUUUUGUGAAACAAAACGCAGCAUUGAAACUGGAAUGCAGAAAAUUUAAAAUUCAGAUUAAAGAAAUGCAGGAGAUGCAAGAAUUGAGAAACAAGGUCACUAUGUACAAGUUCAAAGGCUUUGAGAAAGCUCAGGAAUGUGAGCCUCUUACAGAAUGUCUACACUGCAAUGCAAGCCCAUGCUUGAGCUUGGGCUCAAGCCUAGCCCCCCUUGCAUCUACACUGCAAUUGUGCUAACCCAGGGCUCGAACCCAGGGUCACAAGACCCUGCAAGGUCUGAGCACAAGUCAAGCUGGGACUCAGGGUUCGCUCUAUUGCUUUGCAGUGUAGACACAACUCCUUUUGACUUGUGUCCUAGUAGUCUGCCAGAAAUAUCCCACAAUUCCAUGGGACAAUUCCUUAGUCCUCUCUAUCCCAACAAUCUCCAAUCCACUCUACUGAAAAUGGAAGCCACCCUCUCCCCUCUUGGCAAACGGCAGCAGCUCAGGUCGAUGUUAACCCAUUCUGUUCUGAUCACCGAUCUGUAAGCACACUAUCACUUGCUGGAGGAUUCUCUGCACCUUGAAGUCUUCAAACCAUGAUUUGAGGACUUCAAAAGCUCAGACAUAAGUUAAGGGUUUGUUACAGGAGUUGGUGGGUGAGAUUCCGUGGCCUGCAUCGUGCAGGAGGUCAGAAUAGAGACGAUCAUAAUGGUCCCUUCUGACCUUAAAGUCUAUGAUUCUACAUCACUAUCUGGGUUUCCAAUGAAGAGUGAUCCCAUCAAGCCUUUUGCCAAGUGAACUGCUUCAUGAUUAAGGGAGUACAGCCAAAUUUUGGUGAAUCUCUGUUGCGAGGCCUGUAAAACUGUGGAGUUCAACAAAAGCACCAGAAAUGACGUGUACCAGCAGAUAGCUAAAAAGCUGGUAGCUCUGUGUGAGAUUUUUCAGACAGGUGACCAGUGCAGGGAGCAUAUUAAGAAGGUGAAGAGUGAGUGCUGGAAGACCAGGGACAAGAACUGCACCUCGGGCAACUCGCCAAUGCCAGGCUCAUUUUAUGAUGGCUUUGACCAGGUUCUGGGCACUGCACCCAGCACAGAGCCAAUCAUGCUUCAUGAUGUCCCGGUCAACUGGGAUGGUGCCCUGUUGGCCCCUGAAUCCAGCAUGGGGACUGGUGGGAGCCAGCAGCAGGCUCCCAAUAUAGAGUUUGAAGUGUCUUUUUAAAUGGAACCAGUCCCAGAGUAGGCUCAAGAUCAGGAUCAACAGCAAAUUCUCAGUCCCUUUUUGGAAGAGUGUUUUAUUUUCACCUUUUUCCUCCCCUCCCCUGGAACAGCCUGCUACCGAGCCAGCAGCACACCCACUGGAGACAGAAGCUGCCCCAGAGUCUGGUAAGUGUAUGACACAAAUGUACAGUUUAUUAUCACAGGAACGGGAAGGAUUUCUGCUCCAUUACAAAAAUGAUGAGCCUCAGCUACCAACAUGUGGCCAGUAAUUGCAGAUUGCAUCACAGCACCUUGGCCUCCCCCAUUCCUCUCCCCAUCACCACAUGGAGUUCAAAAUGGUGGUCUGGAAUUUCAAACAACCCUUACAGCUGUUUAUGGAUAUUUUAACUGUUAAAUCACAGGCGUCUACUAGGGUCAUUUUUUCCUUUCAGUAAUGAGAAAUUUGACUCCUGGCUCUAUGGAGCUGCCUGUAAACAGUGAACUGAGUGUGUUUUGUUUGGGGAGCAGUAUUCUGUUUCCAAAUCUAGUCCAUUUCAGCAAGCAAGAGUCCAUGCGGUCUGUGGGGCACAAAAUCAUUUCCCCAAAGUAUAAGUGGGGUGUCAGUUUUUCCCCAGAACUGUGCUGGAUGUGGGGUGGAGAAAAGCUGUAGAUUUUAGUGCGUUGGCAUACAACAAGAACUGGGUAAGCCAUCUGUGAGCUAAUACAGCAUCAUGUUGAUUCCCACAUGGAUUCUGACCCAAUCCUGGCCGCUGAUAUCUUCAAGCUUUUCCUGAAGUAGGAGCUCUAGUUACACAAUGUAGGGAAGGGUGUAUUUUCCAGGCCCCCUCUAUAGCUGACUAGUCCAGUCCACUCACAAAUGUGCUGUUUAAAUACAUCAGUUGCAUACACUGCAGGUUUCCUUCUGACAGCUUGGAAUAACAUCCCCCUCUGGCAAUAGGGCACCAGAACAGUUAUGCUUUCCAAAAUGUGAAAGAACUGAAAUAACAGAAAAGCCUUUUGCAGACAGGACACUACACAUGUCUCCCUCACACCCCCAUCCCCAUAUGGCAAUUAGUUAUGAAAUUUAUAUGAAACAAAAAAAAAGGUUAUAAUUUUAUACGUACCAUUGUCUCGAUACUUCUGUAACUACAAUUAACAAGGCUGUAUCCAGAGACAGAGUGAUGUGUGAAACACCCCUUCACAAUAUGUAUUGGUUCACUUUAGAAACAUUACAUUUUAUGUCCUUGAAAUUCCACAAUAAUUAAUUCUCCUCCAAUAAGCUAGUUUAGACAAUAGCCUUCUGUUUCUUGGCCUGUUUCAGGCCCCUCAGCCUGCACUGCCGUUCUUCAGAAACUUGAUCCCUAUGCCAACGUACCUUCACCAAACGUUCCAAAAGGAAGCGUUUCCAAGAUGAAGUUCUGAGAGGGCAGACCAGCAGAUCCAGUACCAGAAGAAGAGGGACAACAGACUGGAAAAACAGCAUGCUGACAGGCAGGAGGAAAGACUGAGGCAUGCUGCCCCAGUGGAGGAUAGGGUUUCAACGAGGGAGCAGACUCUUGCAAAGCAGUUCCUGGAACAGGAACAGCGGCUAAGGGAGGAGAACAGAUCUCAACAGAGAACUGUUCCAGCAACUCCUGUCCAUAAUGGCUCCUGCUGCCUCCUCAACAUCAUGGCAUGAUGAUCACUCUGCAAUGUACCCUCAGUCCAGCAGCAGCUUGGACAACUCCAUUUCAGGGCAGCCCAUGCAUUCAUCGCUGUGUGGUUUACUAUUUUAAGACAUGUUAACAAAUAAAGCUUGUUAUGUUUUCA